rnacentral:rRNA from 1 species
CUACGGGUCGCACCAGUGGGGAAUAUUGGACAAUGGGGGAAACCCUGAUCCAGCAAUGCCGCGUGUGUGAAGAAGGCCUGCGGGUUGUAAAGCACUUUCGGUUGGGAGGACUGCUUCUAGCACUAAUAUUGUUGGAAGUUGACGUUACCUUCAGAAGAAGCACCGGCUAGCUCCGUGCCAGCAGGCCGCGGUAAUACGGAGGGUGCAAGCGUUAAUCGGAAUUACUGGGCGUAAAGCGCGCGUAGGCGGCUAGAUCAGUCGGGUGUGAAAGCCCCGGGCUUAACCUGGGAACUGCAUCCGAUACUGUCUAGCUUGAGUACAGGAGAGGAGAGUGGAAUUCCACAUGUAGCGGUGAAAUGCGUAGAUAUGUGGAGGAACACCAAUGGCGAAGGCAGCUCUCUGGCCUGAUACUGACGCUGAGGUGCGAAAGCGUGGGGAGCAAACAGGAUUAGAUACCCCUGUAGUC